GGUUAAAAUAGUUUAAUAAAAUAAUAAUUUUGUAAAUUAUAGAUACGUAAAAUGUUUUUAAUUA
rnacentral:tRNA from 1 species